AUUCCCUAGCAGAUGCUAACCGGUGGCAGAGGUCCCUGCUCUGGGUGUCAUCUCUACCUUCCCCACCUGCACUCCAAGCUUAGUCAGGAUCCAGUCCUUUGCUGUCGAGUUGGCCAUGUUUCUCUAGGCCCCACUAUACUUUGUGUUGACACCGUGUCCCUCAAAGGCAGAGGUUGGAUACCCUGGGGACCCCUGCACCAAUCUAGUUGGACAGAAAUGGACAGGUUACACAAGUCCACGUUGUUCGGGAGUACACACCUACCCAUCUUCCCAUUGCUUGCCCUCCAACAACCAGAACCCUGCGAUCCUGGCCCAGCUUCUGUGGCUUUCUGAAGGGAUCUGUUGCUCUCCCUCGCGCCACCUGAAGAGAGGAGCCAUCAGGAUGAAUUGGUUCGUGAUGCCCCGCCUACUAACAGCCCUAUAGUGAUGGCACAGUCGAGGCGGGAACCCUGCUGAGGAUUCUGGGAAAAUAUCCAGCCGACUCCCACAAGGAGCAGCUGGUAAGUCACUCUCUCUGAUAGCAUCCCUGGGGCUCAAGCACUGGUCCUUGCUAGUCCCACGGGGGAGCUCUGGUUUGUCCUUUGCUUUUAUUUUCAGACAUGAUCUAGGGGAGUUAGGGGGACAGGUCUGACACCCAGCAUUUGGAUACACGAAUUUCAGGUCUUUUUUGACACAGCUCUGGCUGUCCUAGGAUUUAUUCUGGACUCAAACUCAAAAGAGAUCCACUUGCCUCUGCCUUCCAUGUGCUGGAAUUAAAGAUAUGACCACCAGACCAGUCCCCCAAAGGUGAACUAUUAAGGACCACGUUGAGAGCCUUGGGUUCCUAUCUGAAGAAUGGGACUAAGAUUCAGGGGGCCUAAGAGAGCCCCUGGUAGGCGCUUGGGUCUCAGAAAAGUCAGAGAUCCUAGAGACCUGUCACUUCCUGGAGACUUACAGUGUGCUGGUUUUGACCUAUGCCCUGGGUACAUCCACAGACUUGGGUGGGGAGUGGGGAAAACAGACUACAGACCCAUGUCACUGUUGCUCCCAACCCAUGUGGCUGUAGCCAGCCAGACAUAGUGCUCUUUUUGUUGGGGACAGUGCCCUAAAAAAGCCCUAAGAUUUAGCUUGAACCAGGGCGGCAUCCACCACAAGCAGGAAGCUGGACCAGGCUGCAUGGGGCGAUGUUUUGUGUUUUUAUUAUUAUCUGGGCAUGUCCUCCACAUCUUUAUUCCUAGCACUCCCAAAGGGGAGGCAGGAAGAUGAGGAGAUCAAGAUUAUUCUUGGCUAUAAAGUUGCAGAGCAGGGCAGUGAUGGCCACGCCUUUAAUCCCAGCACCUGGAAGGCAGAGGCAGGCGGGUCUGUAUAAGUUUGAGGCCAAGCCAGGUCUACAGAGUGAGUUCCAGGACAGCCAAGCCUACACAGAAAGCUUGUUUUGAAAAAAAGGGGGCUGAAGAGAUGGCUCAGCAGUUAAGAGCACUGACUGCUCUUCCAGAGGUCCCGAGUUCAAAUCCCAGUAACCACAUGGUGGCUCACAACCAUCCAUAAUGAGAUCUGAUGCCCUCUUCUGGGGUGCCUGAAGACAGCUACAGUGGUGUACUUACAUAUAAUAAA
ensembl:lincRNA